GAGGCAUUUUACAGUUUUCGAAGAUUAUGCAUAUGUGUGUGAAGUGGCGAUAAAGCUGACCAGCCAUGCACUGCUCUGAUUAAAUAUGACUCAUCCUUGUUCCUGGGACGGGGUUCAAGGUAAGAUCAGUCUUGGAAAGAGCAGCAAGAAACAGAGACAGUUGCUCUCUCCAAUAUGGGUGCUCAUCUUCCAAUCAGCCAACACCUCUUCAGAGCUUCCACGAUGCUGUCUAUCUGUAAAGAUGGAGACUGGAUUCUCCUUAGAGGCCCGGCCAGGCUGUGCUUCAUCCAUGAUGUUAAUAAUCUUCUUCCCCCUACAAUCCUCGAUGCCCUCCUCAAAGCACACACCUGAGACCUUGCAAUUUAUACCUCAAGGUUUUACAUUUUUCUUUCUAUACCUUUAAAAUGAUUACAAAUAAAAGGUAUUGUUACUUG
rnacentral:lncRNA from 1 species